rnacentral:rRNA from 1 species
UACAGAGGUCUCAAGCGUUGUUCGGAUUCAUUGGGCGUAAAGGGUGCGUAGGUGGCGCCGUAAGUCAGGUGUGAAAUUUCGGAGCUUAACUCCGAAACUGCAUUUGAUACUGCGGUGCUUGAGGACUGGAGAGGAGACUGGAAUUUACGGUGUAGCAGUGAAAUGCGUAGAGAUCGUAAGGAAGACCAGUGGCGAAGGCGGCUUGCCAGAACGCGCUCGACGGUGAGGGAUGAAAGCUGGGGGAGCAAACCGG